GGGGCCGUAGCUCAGCUGGGAGAGCACCUGCUUUGCAAGCA
rnacentral:tRNA from 3 species